rnacentral:rRNA from 1 species
UACAGGGGGUGCAAACGUUGCUCGGAAUCAUUGGGCGUAAAGCGCACGUAGGCGGUUCGUUAUGUCGGAUGUGAAAGCCCUUGGCUUAACCGAGGAAGUGCAUCCGAAACUGGCGAGCUAGAGUACUAAAGAGGAUCGCGGAAUUCCCGGUGUAGAGGUGAAAUUCGUAGAUAUUGGGAAGAACACCAACGGCGAAAGCACUCUGCUGGGCCGACACUGACACUGAGAGACGAAAGCUAGGGGAGCAAAUGGG